UUUGCCCUGGAGGCAUAUGCACUUUGUGUUUAUGCACGUGUGUGUGUGUGUGUGUGUGUGUGUGUGUGUGUUCGUGGGUGUGUUUAUGAUGGCCACCUGAAAGCGCUUCACUAAUUGAAUUAGCUCACCUAAAAGUGUCUGAGGAGACUAAAUUGAUGGCAUGUGACACACGUGUCCAUCUGUGACCAAAAUGAGGAAAAGGAUGUGAGUUAACAAUCACUUUGGAAUUCCUGGCCAGCGACAGCAUCUCUCAGACACAAUUGUAAUGAUUUGUCAUGCGCCGACCAAUCAACGAGGUGGGAAGCAUCUUUGAGGACAGCCGACGGCCGCGAGCACCCAGAAAGGAAACGAUGAGGGUCAAGCCGGGUUCACGCGCACUCAGCUCGACGCCUUCUGCUUGCCUGGGCCGCCGUCACCUCAUCACUCAAGACGCCGCCACGACGGAAUUGGCUGCCACACAGCAGAAUGAGCUGCCACCUCAUAUCUCAAAGUUCUUUCAGAUGCAUGCAAGGCCAGAUGUGCUUUGGGGGAAUUACAGCGGGAUAUAUUCAUUUGUUGAUUUUAUUUGAUUUGUGAUGUAAACAUAUGUCCAUAUCAUAUUUACACAUUUGUAUUUUACAAUCAUUCUAUUUGAUUGACUUAUUUUCAGCAUUGCACACAAAAGAUUCCAAAUAUUAAAGGGUUGGUUUUCAUAUUCCA